rnacentral:rRNA from 1 species
AGUCAUAUGCUUGUCUCAAAGAUUAAGCCAUGCAUGUCUAAGUUCAAGCGAAAAUAAAGUGAAACCGCGAAUGGCUCAUUACAUCAGUUAUGGUUCCUUAGAUCGCACUUACUACUUGGAUAACUGUGGUAAUUCUAGAGCUAAUACAUGCACUGAGCCCCAACCCUCGUGGAAGGGGCGCUUUUAUUAGAUCAAAGCCAAUCGGGUCUUCGGAUCCGUCUUGUUGGUGACUCUGAAUAACUUUGCUGAUCGUAUGGUCUUGUACCGACGACGUAUCUUUCAAGUGUCUGCCUUAUCAACUGUCGAUGGUAGGUUAUGCGCCUACCAUGGUUGUAACGGGUAACGGGGAAUCAGGGUUCGAUUCCGGAGAGGGAGCCUGAGAAACGGCUACCACAUCCAAGGAAGGCAGCAGGCGCGCAAAUUACCCACUCCCGGCACGGGGAGGUAGUGACGAAAAAUAACGAUACGGAACUCAUACGAGGCUCCGUAAUCGGAAUGAGUACACUUUAAAUCCUUUAACGAGGAUCUAUUGGAGGGCAAGUCUGGUGCCAGCAGCCGCGGUAAUUCCAGCUCCAAUAGCGUAUAUUAAAGUUGUUGCGGUUAAAAAGCUCGUAGUUGGAUCUCGGUUUCGGGCGGAUGGUGCGCUUUUGGGUGUUUACUGUCUGCCCGGACGAUUUUGUCAGUUCGUUCGUGGUUCUCUUAACCGAGUGCCACGGGUGGCUGGCACGUUUACUUUGAAAAAAUUGGAGUGCUCAAAGCAGGCGCUACAGCCUGAACAUUAGUGCAUGGAAUAAUGGAAUAGGAUCUCGGUUCUAUUUCGUUGGCUUUCGGAGUCGAGGUAAUGAUUAAUAGGAACAGACGGGGGCAUUAGUACUGCGACGUUAGAGGUGAAAUUCUUGGAUCGUCGCAAGACUAACUACUGCGAAAGCAUUUGCCAAGAAUGUUUUCAUUAAUCAAGAACGAAAGUUAGAGGUUCGAAGGCGAUCAGAUACCGCCCUAGUUCUAACCAUAAACGAUGCCUACCGGCGAUCCGCUGUCGUUAAUUGAAUGACUCAGCGGGCAGCCUCCGGGAAACCAGAGUCUUUGGGUUCCGGGGGAAGUAUGGUUGCAAAGCUGAAACUUAAAGGAAUUGACGGAAGGGCACCACCAGGAGUGGAGCCUGCGGCUUAAUUUGACUCAACACGGGAAAUCUCACCAGGCCCGGACACCGGAAGGAUUGACAGAUUGAGAGCUCUUUCUUGAUUCGGUGGGUGGUGGUGCAUGGCCGUUCUUAGUUGGUGGAGCGAUUUGUCUGGUUAAUUCCGAUAACGAACGAGACUCUGACCUAUUAACUAGAUGCUGGAUCCCUUUGUGGGUCCGACACAGCUUCUUAGAGGGACUGGCGGCGUUUAGCCGCACGAGAUUGAGCAAUAACAGGUCUGUGAUGCCCUUAGAUGUUCUGGGCUGCACGCGCGCUACACUGAAGGUAUCAGCGUGUGUUCCCGAUCCGAAAGGAUUGGGAAACCCGUUGAACCACCUUCGUGAUGGGGAUUGGGGAUUGCAAUUAUUCCCCAUGAACGAGGAAUUCCCAGUAGGCGCGAGUCAUAAGCUUGCGUCGAUUACGUCCCUGCCCUUUGUACACACCGCCCGUCGCUACUACCGAUCGAGUGAUUUAGUGAGGCCUUCGGACUGGUCUUCGUGGUGGCCUUCGGGUCAUGACGGAAUGCCGGAAAGAUGGCCAAACUUGAUCACUUAAAAGGAAGUAAAAGU